GCCACUGAAGAUUUUGAUGUUUGGCAUCUUAACCAAAGAUCCUAGAUUCAGCUUUUCCCUCUGCCGCCUUGGAAUGGAACUUGGACCACAGACCCUAACAGCUUCCGGCGAUUGCAUAGCAGGGUUUCCCUGGGUAUCCCUGGUUGUCCUGGAACAGAACUUGCCUCAAUUCAGAGACAGACCGCCUCUGCUUCAUGAGUGCUGGAAUUAAAGGCAUGGGCCACUGCCUGGCCAAUUGUUAUUAUUAACUUUUAGGAACUUUAAAUUUAAAUACACUAAAACACAAAGCAAGGUUCUCAGAUGAAUUUAAAUGGAAAGUUUCAGGCUGGAGGAGUACGUACAAAGUGUCUAGUCCAUUUCCAACAGAGUGAAAAAGCAAAGAAGGUUGAAAAUGGUAGAAAUGGGAAUCCAUUCCAGAGUAUUUGAAAGUACCUCCAGGAUACUUGCUGUGUUAAUUAAAUAAAUGUUCCAAGAGCAA